AUUGAACGCUGGCGGCAGGCCUAACACAUGCAAGUCGAACGAGUGGCGGACGGGUGAGGAAUGUCUGGGAAUCUACUCUGUGGAGGGGGAUAACUUAGGGAAACGUUCGCUAAUCCCGCAUACUAUCGGAUGAGCCCAGUUGGGAUUAGCUAGUUGGCGGGGUAACGGCCCACCAAGGCGACGAUCCCUAGCUGGUCUGAGAGGAUGACCAGCCACACUGGAACUGAGACACGGUCCAGACUCCUACGGGAGGCAGCAGUGGGGAAUAUUGGACAAUGGGCGCAAGCCUGAUGCAGCCAUGCCGCGUGUAUGAAGAAGGCCUUCGGGUUGUAAAGUACUUUCAGUGGGGAGGCGGUACCCACAGAAGAAGCACCGGCUAACUCCGUGCCAGCAGCCGCGGUAAUUC
rnacentral:rRNA from 1 species